rnacentral:sRNA from 1 species
UUUAUCAAAUUUUUAGAUAAUUCAAACAACUAAUAUAUUAACCAUUCAAACGGAAAGGAGCAUAAUAAGAUGACCUAUAAUACAACAGUAAAUAAACCAACAACUUCAAAUAUUUUAGUCAUUUUAUUAUGCUUAUAGGACUGGAGCUUUAGUAUCAAUUUACUAAAAGUUUAAGUCCUAUUUCUAGUUGAAUGGGACUUG